AUAGCGUAUAUUAAAGUUGUUGAGGUUAAAAAGCUCGUAGUUGAACCUUGGGCCUAGCCGGCCGGUCCGCCUCACCGCGUGCACUGGCUCGGCUGGGCCUUUCCUUCUGGAGAACCGCAUGCCCUUCACUGGGUGUGCUGGGGAACCAGGACUUUUACUCUGAACAAAUUAGAUCGCUUAAAGAAGGCCUAUGCUCGAAUACAUUAGCAUGGAAUAAUAGAAUAGGACGUGUGGUUCUAUUUUGUUGGUAUUGACGGCCGGCCGUAAUGAUUAAUAGGGAUAGUCGGGGGCAUCAGUAUUCAAUUGUCAGAGGUGAAAUUCUUGGAUUUAUUGAAGACUAACUACUG
rnacentral:rRNA from 1 species